rnacentral:rRNA from 1 species
UUGGGCGUAAAGGGAGCGCAGGCGGUUGGAAUAGUCUGAUGUGAAAGCCCACGGCUUAACCGUGGAAGGUCAUUGGAAACUGUCCAACUUGAAUACAGAAGAGGUAAGUGGAAUUCCAAGUGUAGCGGUGAAAUGCGUAGAUAUUUGGAGGAACACCAGUGGCGAAGGCGACUUACUGGUCUGUAAUUGACGCUGAGGCUCGAAAGCGUGGGUAGCAAACAGGAUUAGAUACCCUGGUAGUCCACGCCGUAAACGAUGAGUGCUAAGUGUUAGGGGGUUUCCGCCCCUUAGUGCUGGAGUUAACGCAUUAAGCACUCCGCCUGGGGAGUACGGCCGCAAGGCUGAAACUCAAAGGAAUUGACGGGGGACCCGCACAAGCGGUGGAGCAUGUGGUUUAAUUCGAAGCAACGCGAAGAACCUUAACCAGCUCUUGACAUCAUCUGACCACCCUAGAGAUAGGGCUUUCCCUUCGGGGACAGAUAGACAGGUGGUGCAUGGUUGUCGUCAGCUCGUGUCGUGAGAUGUUGGGUUAAGUCCCAUAACGAGCGCAACCCUUAUUGUUAGUUGCCAGCAUUCAGUUGGGCACUCCAGCGAGACUGCCGGUGAUAAACCGGAGGAAGGUGGGGAUGACGUCAAAUCAUCAUGCCCCUUAUGAGCUGGGCUACACACGUGCUACAAUGGACGGUACAACGAGUUGCGACCCCGCAAGGGUGAGCGAAUCUUAAUAAGCCGUUCUCAGUUCGGAUUGUUCUCUGCAACUCGAGAACAUGAAGCCGGAAUCGCUAGUAAUCG